GCCGAAGUGGCGGAAUUGGUAGACGCGCUGCCUUGAGGGGGCAGUGGGCGAAAGCCCGUGCGAGUUCGAGUCUCGCCUUCGGCACCA
rnacentral:tRNA from 1 species